rnacentral:rRNA from 1 species
AACGAACGCUGGCGGCAUGCCUAACACAUGCAAGUCGAACGAGUGCCUUCGGGUGCUAGUGGCGCACGGGUGCGUAACGCGUGGGAAUCUGCCCUUAGGUUCGGAAUAACAGCUGGAAACGGCUGCUAAUACCGGAUGAUAUCGCGAGAUCAAAGAUUUAUCGCCUGAGGAUGAGCCCGCGUUGGAUUAGGUAGUUGGUGGGGUAAAGGCCUACCAAGCCGACGAUCCAUAGCUGGUCUGAGAGGAUGAUCAGCCACACUGGGACUGAGACACGGCCCAGACUCCUACGGGAGGCAGCAGUGGGGAAUAUUGGACAAUGGGCGCAAGCCUGAUCCAGCAAUGCCGCGUGAGUGAUGAAGGCCCUAGGGUUGUAAAGCUCUUUUACCCGGGAAGAUAAUGACUGUACCGGGAGAAUAAGCCCCGGCUAACUCCGUGCCAGCCGCCGCAGUAA